rnacentral:rRNA from 1 species
AUACGUAGGCGCAAAGCGUUAUCCGGAUUUACUGGGUGUAAUGGGCGUGUAGGUGGUUUGGCACGUCAGAAGUGAAAUUCCCGGGCUUAACUUGGGCACUGCUUCUGAAACUGCUUAACUUGAGUGCUGGAGAGGCUAGUGGAAUUCCUAGAGCAGCGGAAACAUGAGCAGAUAUUAGGUGGAACACCGGUGGCGAAGGCGGCUAUCUGGACAGUAACAGACGCUGAGGCGCGAAAGCACGGGGAGCAAACAGGAUUAGAUACCCUGGUAGUCCGUGCCGUAAACGAUGAAUACUAGGUGUAGGGGGUAUCGACUCCCUCUGUGCCGCAGUUAACACAUUAAGUAUUCCACCUGGGGAGUACGGCCGCAAGGUUGAAACUCAAAGGAAUUGACGGGG